rnacentral:rRNA from 1 species
UAGCUUGCUACUUUACCUAGCGGCGGACGGGUGAGUAAUGCUUAGGAAUCUGCCUAUUAGUGGGGGACAACAUCUCGAAAGGGAUGCUAAUACCGCAUACGUCCUACGGGAGAAAGCAGGGGACCUUCGGGCCUUGCGCUAAUAGAUGAGCCUAAGUCGGAUUAGCUAGUUGGUGGGGUAAAGGCCUACCAAGGCGACGAUCUGUAGCGGGUCUGAGAGGAUGAUCCGCCACACUGGGACUGAGACACGGCCCAGACUCCUACGGGAGGCAGCAGUGGGGAAUAUUGGACAAUGGGGGGAACCCUGAUCCAGCCAUGCCGCGUGUGUGAAGAAGGCCUUUUGGUUGUAAAGCACUUUAAGCGAGGAGGAGGCUACCGAGAUUAAUACUCUUGGAUAGUGGACGUUACUCGCAGAAUAAGCACCGGCUAACUCUGUGCCAGCAGCCGCGGUAAUACAGAGGGUGCAAGCGUUAAUCGGAUUUACUGGGCGUAAAGCGCGCGUAGGUGGCCAAUUAAGUCAAAUGUGAAAUCCCCGAGCUUAACUUGGGAAUUGCAUUCGAUACUGGUUGGCUAGAGUAUGGGAGAGGAUGGUAGAAUUCCAGGUGUAGCGGUGAAAUGCGUAGAGAUCUGGAGGAAUACCGAUGGCGAAGGCAGCCAUCUGGCCUAAUACUGACACUGAGGUGCGAAAGCAUGGGGAGCAAACAGGAUUAGAUACCCUGGUAGUCCAUGCCGUAAACGAUGUCUAC